AAACGUAGGUGGCGAGCGUUAUCCGGAUUUACUGGGCGUAAAGGGUGUGCAGGCGGGCUGUUAAGUGGUGCAUGAAAUCUCCGCGCUUAACGUGGAGAGGCUGUGCCAGACUGGCAGUCUAGAGUACGAGAGAGGGUUGUGGAAUUCCGGGUGUAGUGGUGAAAUGCGUAGAUAUCGGGAGGAACACCAGUGGCGAAGGCGACUACCUGGCCUGUUCUUGACGCUGAGGCGCGAAAGCUAGGGGAGCAAACGGG
rnacentral:rRNA from 1 species